rnacentral:rRNA from 1 species
UACCUGCAGCUCGAGUGGUAACCGCUAUUAUUGGGCCUAAAGCGUCCGUAGCCGGUUUGGUAAAUAUCUGGGUUAAAUCGUGAGGCUUAACUUCACGAAUUUCGGAUAGACUGCCAGACUUGGGAUCGGGGGAGGUCAGAGGUACUCCAGGGGUAGCGGUGAAAUGUUGUAAUCCUUGGAGGACCACCGGUAGCGAAGGCGUCUGACUAGAACGAGUCCGACGGUGGGGGACGAAGCCCUGGGGCGCAAACCGGAUUAGAUACCCGGGUAGUCCAGGGUGUAAACGAUGUGGGCUUUGUAUUGGAGGUCCCACGUGGGCGUCCAGUGCAGAAGAGGAGUUGUUAAGCCCACUGCCUGGGAAGUACGGUCGCAAGGCUGAAACUUAAAGGAAUUGGCGGGGAGCACAGCAACGGGAGGAGCGUGCGGUUU